rnacentral:rRNA from 1 species
UGAGGAAUAUUGGUCAAUGGGCGAGAGCCUGAACCAGCCAAGUCGCGUGAAGGAAGACUGCCUUAUGGGUUGUAAACUUCUUUUAUACAGGAAUAAAAAGGCUUACGUGUAGGCCAUUGCAAGUACUGUAUGAAUAAGCAUCGGCUAACUCCGUGCCAGCAGCCGCGGUAAUACGGAGGAUGCGAGCGUUAUCCGGAUUUAUUGGGUUUAAAGGGUGCGCAGGCGGGCUUUUAAGUCAGCGGUGAAAUCUGGACGCUUAACGUCCAAACUGCCGUUGAAACUGGGAGUCUUGAGUAUGGAUGAAGUAGGCGGAAUUCGUUGUGUAGCGGUGACAUGCAUAGAUAUAACGAGGAACUCCGAUUGCGUAGGCAGCUUACUAAGCCAUAACUGACGCUCAUGCACGAAAGCGUGGGGAUCAAACAGGAUUAGAUACCCUGGUAGUCCACGCCGUAAACGAUGAUUACUAGUUGUAUGCGAUAUGAUAGUAUGUGACUAAGCGAAAGCGAUAAGUAAUCCACCUGGGGAGUACGCC